rnacentral:lncRNA from 1 species
UUUAACACUUUAACUUUAUCGAUAAUUAUUUACCUCCCUAAACAAUUUUCGCAUGAAUUAUAUACCAUCCCAAAAAUAUAAUUCCACUCUUACAAUGGAGAGUGUAAUACACUUGCCUCCAAGUUAGCGCCACAUCAUUGCUACGUUGGAUCUAUGCUAAAAAAAGAAAUUAAAUAUCAUUCCAUAUAUAGAUAUAUAAAUUUAAAAAGUUUUCUUUUUCACCCCCUCUCCUUGCGUCUCCGUGCAACUCAUGGUAAGGUUGCUAACAACAGAAAUGUAAUUAUUGCAAUUGGGCAGUUAAUGGUGGCUGCGACAUCGGCGUCGCUGCAGCGGAAUUGUCCAUCGAAUUUGAGGAGAAGGGAGUAAUACUUUUACCCAAAAUUGUUAGUAGUAUAAUAGUACUUUGGAUUUUGGAAGCCCACAAUUUUAGAGAGGGAAAUAUAACAUUUUUGUUAUUGUGAAUUGAUGAGUACUAGUCUACAUUUGAUAUUGAAUUAAGAAUGAUAUUAGAAA